CUGCUCUCCUGCAGCAUCAGGCAGCAUGACAACCCAGCGAUGGAUUCUGGCAUUCUGCCUUUCACUGGCCUCAGUUUUUGGCACAGUGGAAUUGUUCAAGACCAAAGAAAUUCAGACUUACACUUGCAGGACAUUUGGCAGCGGGAUCGUCCAGCCUUUUAAGGGGAAGAGUUACUAUGUUCGGUCCGACUGCCCGUUCAAACUCACAAGCUUCAACGUCAACCGCGGGGAAUAUUCUGUCACCAUACGGCGAGGUCACAACGGGCUGUUGGUCCAAGUCGAGAUCAUCAUUAACAAAGUCACGACACUUUUGCGGAAUGGCCACAUCCUGGUGCAGAACAAAAGUGUUUCCCUUCCAUACGACCACACCUACCAGCAUAUCUUUAAAUACGGCAUCUACACUAGACUGAGGAGCUCGCUGCUUCCUUUUACUGUCACCUGGCACAAUGUACAUGGGGGAAUAAACUCUCUGUGGGUGACACUGGAGUCGGAGCUGUGCACCGACAUGUGUGGACUGUGUGGAAAACAAAACGUUGCAGGCCACAGGGACGAGUUGAUCAGAGACAGCAAGCUUCAUGACCACAGAUGUAAAAUCAGAGAUCCUGUGUUGCGGAAAAAUCACAUAUGCCGUCGAUUCUUUCUGAAAACCAAGAACUGUCUGCAAGACAACAAUUCUCACUAUCACCGACUCUGUAAAGAGAACAUUUGUGGCUUUGAAAACAGCCAGAGCAUCUUCUGUCCUUUCUUCCGAGAAGUUGCAAGCCAGUGUAACCAAUCAAGAAUCAACCGAUUUUGGAGACGUUUAACCAGAUGUGGUAGGCACUCUUCAAAAACAAAAAAAAAAAAAAAAAAAAAAA
rnacentral:misc_RNA from 1 species